GUCGUAAUUGCGUGUCGAUAUCUUGUCAAUCGUACGGUUGUUUAAUACGACUAACUAACUUGAUACGGAAAAUAUUCUUACUUUUUUUUAAAUUACCAUGGUCUGUUGUUUUUAAACUGUUGAUAUUGGAAUUAGGUGAAAAGUCAAAGUUGAAAUCAUAAAUAAGUGUUCCGUGAAAAUUGUUUUCGAAAAUCUAAUUUGUU
rnacentral:lncRNA from 1 species